rnacentral:rRNA from 1 species
CAAGACAACUUUACGGAGUUGACGAUUGACGGAGCGAAGCGACGUCAAAGCGUUCAUUAAAGUCGAGUUGGCUUAGGGAUACGUUCGUUGGGUAGGGGAGCGUUCUGUAAGCCUGUGAAGGUGUGUCGUGAGGCAUGCUGGAGGUAUCAGAAGUGCGAAUGCUGACAUAAGUAACGAUAAAGCGGGUGAAAAGCCCGCUCGCCGGAAGACCAAGGGUUCCUGUCCAACGUUAAUCGGGGCAGGGUGAGUCGACCCCUAAGGCGAGGCCGAAAGGCGUAGUCGAUGGGAAACGGGUUAAUAUUCCCGUACUUGGUGUUACUGCGAAGGGGGGACGGAGAAGGCUAUGUUGGCCGGGCGACGGUUGUCCCGGUUUAAGCGUGUAGGUGUGUGUUCCAGGUAAAUCCGGUUCACUUUAACACUGAGGCGUGACGACGAGGCACUACGGUGCUGAAGCAACAAAUGCCCUGCUUCCAGGAAAAGCCUCUAAGCAUCAGGUAACAUCAAAUCGUACCCCAAACCGACACAGGUGGUCAGGUAGAGAAUACCAAGGCGCUUGAGAGAACUCGGGUGAAGGAACUAGGCAAAAUGGUGCCGUAACUUCGGGAGAAGGCACGC